UGACCUCGGAUCAGGUAGGAAUACCCGCUGAACUUAAGCAUAUCAAUAAGCG
rnacentral:rRNA from 6 species